CUAGGUCAGGGUCUCUCAGUAUUAACCCCCUGUCUCUCUCUCCAGGGUGAGGUCUAUCUCUCUAGGUCAGGGUCUCUCAGUAUUAACCCCCUGUCUCUCUCUCCAGGGUGAGGUCUAUCUCUCUAGGUCAGGGUCUCUCAGUAUUAACUCUGUCUCUCUCUCCAGGGUGAGGUCUAUCUCUCUAUGUCAGGGUCUCUCAGUAUUAACCUCCUGUCUCUCUCUCCAGGGUGAGGUCUAUCUCUCUAGGUCAGGGUCCUCUCUGUCUCUCUCUCCAGGGUGAGGUCUAUCUCUCUAGGUCAGGGUCCUCUCUGUCUCUCUCCAGGGUGAGGUCUAUCUCUCUAGG
ensembl:lncRNA